GAUGAACGCUGGCGGCGUGCCUAAUACAUGCAAGUCGAGCGAACGGACGAGAAGCUUGCUUCACUGAUGUUAGCGGCGGACGGGUGAGUAACACGUGGAUAACCUACCUAUAAGACUGGGAUAACUUCGGGAAACCGGAGCUAAUACCGGAUAAUAUUUUGAACCGCAUGGUUCAAAAGUGAAAGACGGUCUUGCUGUCACUUAUAGAUGGAUCCGCGCUGCAUUAGCUAGUUGGUAAGGUAACGGCUUACCAAGGCAACGAUGCAUAGCCGACCUGAGAGGGUGAUCGGCCACACUGGAACUGAGACACGGUCCAGACUCCUACGGGAGGCAGCAGUAGGGAAUCUUCCGCAAUGGGCGAAAGCCUGACGGAGCAACGCCGCGUGAGUGAUGAAGGUCUUCGGAUCGUAAAACUCUGUUAUUAGGGAAGAACAUACGUGUAAGUAACUGUGCACAUCUUGACGGUACCUAAUCAGAAAGCCACGGCUAACUACGUGCCAGCAGCCGCGGUAAUACGUAGGUGGCAAGCGUUAUCCGGAAUUAUUGGGCGUAAAGCGCGCGUAGGCGGUUUUUUAAGUCUGAUGUGAAAGCCCACGGCUCAACCGUGGAGGGUCAUUGGAAACUGGAAAACUUGAGUGCAGAAGAGGAAAGUGGAAUUCCAUGUGUAGCGGUGAAAUGCGCAGAGAUAUGGAGGAACACCAGUGGCGAAGGCGACUUUCUGGUCUGUAACUGACGCUGAUGUGCGAAAGCGUGGGGAUCAAACAGGAUUAGAUACCCUGGUAGUCCACGCCGUAAACGAUGAGUGCUAAGUGUUAGGGGGUUUCCGCCCCUUAGUGCUGCAGCUAACGCAUUAAGCACUCCGCCUGGGGAGUACGACCGCAAGGUUGAAACUCAAAGGAAUUGACGGGGACCCGCACAAGCGGUGGAGCAUGUGGUUUAAUUCGAAGCAACGCGAAGAACCUUACCAAAUCUUGACAUCCUUUGACAACUCUAGAGAUAGAGCCUUCCCCUUCGGGGGACAAAGUGACAGGUGGUGCAUGGUUGUCGUCAGCUCGUGUCGUGAGAUGUUGGGUUAAGUCCCGCAACGAGCGCAACCCUUAAGCUUAGUUGCCAUCAUUAAGUUGGGCACUCUAAGUUGACUGCCGGUGACAAACCGGAGGAAGGUGGGGAUGACGUCAAAUCAUCAUGCCCCUUAUGAUUUGGGCUACACACGUGCUACAAUGGACAAUACAAAGGGCAGCGAAACCGCGAGGUCAAGCAAAUCCCAUAAAGUUGUUCUCAGUUCGGAUUGUAGUCUGCAACUCGACUACAUGAAGCUGGAAUCGCUAGUAAUCGUAGAUCAGCAUGCUACGGUGAAUACGUUCCCGGGUCU
rnacentral:rRNA from 1 species